rnacentral:rRNA from 1 species
GACGAACGCUGGCGGCGUGCUUAACACAUGCAAGUCGAACGGAAAGGCCCUGCUUUUGUGGGGUGCUCGAGUGGCGAACGGGUGAGUAACACGUGAGUAACCUGCCCUUGACUUUGGGAUAACUUCAGGAAACUGGGGCUAAUACCGGAUAGGAGCUCCUGCUGCAUGGUGGGGGUUGGAAAGUUUCGGCGGUCGGGGAUGGACUCGCGGCUUAUCAGCUUGUUGGUGGGGUAGUGGCUUACCAAGGCUUUGACGGGUAGCCGGCCUGAGAGGGUGACCGGCCACAUUGUGACUGAGAUACGGCCCAGACUCCUACGGGAGGCAGCAGUGGGGAAGAUUGCACAAUGGGCGGAAGCCUGAUGCAGCAACGCCGCGUGCGGGAUGACGGCCUUCGGGUUGUAAACCUCUUUCGCCUGUGACGAAGCGUGAGUGACGGUAAUGGGUAAAGAAGCACCGGCUAACUACGUG